CCGCAGCUUCGACGAGUGGACGGACCCCGCCGACCAAGCCCUCUCCGGCGGCCACGGAAUGCUAGUGCCUACCCACCCCGCGGCCUUCCUCCCGAGUUCGGUUCUGUGCGGUGACGAUGGCGCGGUCGCUGGUGAACGCCGCGGCGUCCUCGAUUAACUAUGCUUCAAGUUCAGUUGGCAGAGUUCUUCAAUCCCACCAAAAUUUCUCUCUGCCAGCAUAAUAUGCCUAGCCUAGCAUUUAAGAACAAGCAGCAAGCAUGGUUAGGAGAACUUGAAAACUCUAGAGUUGUUGCUGAUGUCAAGUUAAUAAACUGUAGUGAUCAUUCUGCGUUGGAAUGUACACCA